rnacentral:rRNA from 1 species
CCUACGGGAGGCAGCAGUGGGGAAUAUUGGUCAAUGGGCGCAAGCCUGAACCAGCCAAGUAGCGUGAAGGAUGACUGCCCUACGGGUUUUACACUUCUUUUAUAAAGGAAUACAGUGAGGCACGUGUGUCUUUUUGUAUGUACUUUAUGAAUAAUGAUCGGCUAACUCCGUGCCCGCAGCCGCUGUACUACGGUGGUUCCGUGCGUUGACCGGAUGUAUUGGUUUUAAAGGGAGCGUAGAUGGGUUGUUAAGUCAGUUGUGAAAUUUUGCGGCUCAACCGUAAAAUUGGAAUUGAUACUGGCAGUCUUGAGUACAGUUGAGGUAGGCGGAAUUCGUGGUGUAGCGGUGAAAUGCGUAGAGAUCACGAAGAACUCCGAUUGCGAAGGCAGCUUACUAAACUGUAACUGACAUUGAUGCUCGAAAGUGUGGGUAUCAAACAGGAUUAGAUACCCUGGUAGUC